rnacentral:rRNA from 1 species
GCUUUAACACAUGCAAGUCGAACGGAAACGAUGGUAGCUUGCUACCAGGCGUCGAGUGGCGGACGGGUGAGUAAUGCAUAGGAAUCUGCCUUUUAGUGGGGGAUAACGUGGUGAAAACCACGCUAAUACCGCAUAAUCUNUACGGAGGAAAGCGGGGGAUCUUCGGACCUCGUGCUGAAAGAUGAGCCUAUGUCAGAUUAGCUAGUUGGUGGGGUAAUUGCCUACCAAGGCGACGAUCUGUAGCUGGUCUGAGAGGACGAUCAGCCACNCUGGGACUGAGACACGGCCCAGACUCCUACGGGAGGCAGCAGUGGGGAAUAUUGGACAAUGGGGGCAACCCUGAUCCAGCAAUGCCGCGUGUGUNAAGAAGGCCUGCGGGUUGUAAAGCACUUUCAGUAGGGAGGAAAAGUUUAAGGUUAAUAACCUUAGGCCCUGACGUUACCUACAGAAGAAGCACCGGCUAACUCCGUGCCAGCAGCCGCGGUAAUAC